rnacentral:rRNA from 1 species
CGACCCCAGGUCAGGAGGGGCUGCCCGUUAAGUUUAAGCAUAUCAAUAAGCGGAGG